ACGGUAACAGGAGAGAGCUUGCUCUCUUGCUGACGAGUGGCGGACGGGUGAGUAAUGCUUGGGAAUCUGCCUAUAGAUGGGGGAUAACCAUUGGAAACGAUGGCUAAUACCGCGUAAUAUCGAGAGAUUAUAGAGUGCUUUUAGUACUUGUCUAUAGAUGAGCCCAAGUGAGACUAGCUAGUUGGUGAGGUAAUGGCUCACCAAGGCGACGAUCUCUAGCUGGUUUGAGAGAAUGACCAGCCACACUGGAACUGAGACACGGUCCAGACUUCUACGGAAGGCAGCAGUGGGGAAUAUUGGACAAUGGGGGCAACCCUGAUCCAGCCAUGCCGCGUGUAUGAAGAAGGCCUUAGGGUUGUAAAGUACUUUCGGUAAUGAGGAAGGUAAUUAUUGAAGGAUAGUUGCUUGACGUUAGUUACAGAAGAAGCACCGGCUAACUCCGUGCCAGCAGCCGCGGUAAUACGGAGGGUGCGAGCGUUAAUCGGAAUUACUGGGCGUAAAGGGCACGCAGGCGGAUUGGCAAGUUAGAUGUGAAAGCCCCGAGCUUAACUUGGGAAUUGCAUUUAAAACUACUAAUCUAGAGUUGUUUAGGGAGGGGUAGAAUUUCUCGUGUAACAGUGAAAUGUGUAGAGAUGAGAAG
rnacentral:rRNA from 1 species